UGUUUGUUCUUGACAACUUAGAGCUCGGUCUACUAAACAAGCAACAAGGAGUAACACCAAGAAUAGGCUUGUACGAUUAUGAGUCAAUGAAAAAGAUGGUCGAGCAAAUCACAGUAAACAUCCCAGGUGGUGAAGUCACUUUCAGCGGUGGCAAGGUCAGGGAUGAUACGCCUGCAAGGGGUAUUGAGUCACAUUUAAAUGUUGUGGGCACAGGAAAGAUUGCCAAACCAGCUUUCAACCCGAAAAGAGCAAGUACUCCAUGCUCGCCAAUGUUGCGAUCUACUUACACGAAGAAUGGCCCGCAAGAGUUUUCAAACUAUAUACGAUCGCGGUACCCCACCAUAUCAGCACAGAAACUUGGCAUUCUCCUCCGGGAACAAAAUGCACGCGGCCUGGCAAACAUAUCGGAAAUGCGGUAAGCGUUCCAAUCAAACAUGUUCACAUUCACUGACAAGCUAAUGGCGUGCCUUGGAGAAAUGUGUACAUGUUGUAAAGCACACGGACGGAAAAUGUGUGUCCUCAAGAGCGAAGACAAAACCAUAGACGAACCGCCCCCAACUCCAUCAACUGAACAACUAAGCACUCCACUAGUCACCAAGAUUGGACCACGCCUUCCUGCACCAGGAAUGCCAGAAGGUCAAGUGUCUGCUACUAGUUUAGUUUCUAGGAAAAGGGAUGGAAGCCUAUCAUCAAGUAUGCAGUCCGGUCCAUCUAAGAGACUUUGUUUACCAGCCUCCAUUGGAGAAGAUGACCUUUGCCAAAAACAGAGACCAAUAGCCGAAGAUUCUACACUUAUGGACAUCGCUAGCAGCAUCCUGUCAAUGUAUGAUGAUCUAACAGCCGUCCUUGUCACUUAUUAUGCCGAGAUCCGUCCAGCACCCACGGCGAUCUUGUUUGGCGCAACAAUAGACGGAGCACCUGUGAAGAUUGACCUGGCAUAGUGCAACUUUGGGAGGGACCCAUGGGUUGUUGGUUCGGUAUCCCCGCCCCCUCCAGAAAAUGCGCUUAGGGCUAUAUGAGACUGGAUGUCAGCAGCGUCCAUGACCAAUUUG